GUAAUUAAGGGCGUACGGUGGAUGCCUAGACAUUGGAAGGCGAUGAAGGACGCGGCGUAGCGGCGAUACGCCUCGGGGAGGUGCGUAGCAACCUAUGAUCCGGGGAUUUCCGAAUGGGGUAACCCAUCCCGAUGAAGUCGGGAUACUUCGAGUCAAAUCGAAGAGCGCACCCAGGGAAGUGAAACAUCUCAGUACCUGGAGGAAAAGAAAACAAAAGUCAUUCCCUUAGUAGCGGCGAGCGAAAAGGGAAAUAGCCUAAACCGUUUAAUAUGGCAACAUAUUAAACGGGGUUAUAAGAAAGAAACGCUUCAAAUUUUUUUGUGAGAAUUAUUUCACAAAAGAAUUUGAGUGAGAGAGUUACAAAAUCAUUUGUUAGCUGAAUCUUUUGGAAAAAAGAGCCAGAGAAGGUGAUAGCCCUGUAAGCGAAAACAAAUGAUCUCUCUAGUUUCUUUUCUUAAGUAGCUUGAGGUUGGAAUGCCUUGAGUGAAGUUGGGAGCACUAUUCUCCCAAGGCUAAAUACUUCCAAUGAUCGAUAGUGAACUAGUACCGUGAGGGAAAGGUGAAAAGCAGGCCGGUGAGGCCGAUGAAAUAGAACCUGAAACCGUAUGCCUACAAGGAACCGGAACCCGUAAGGGCGACGGUGUGCCUAUUGAAGAAUGAGCCAACGACUUAUUGUCUAUUGCAAGUCUAAUCCCGAUAUAAUCGGGAGGAGGCGCAGGGAAACCGAGUCUGAAUAGGGCGAUUAGCAGUAGGCAAUAGACCCGAAGCCGGAUGAGCUUACCUUGGCCAGGGUGAAUCUCGUCGAAAGGCGGGAGGAGGCCCGAACCGGUUGGUUGUUCAAAACCUUCGGAUGAGCUGAGGUAAGGAGUGAAAAGCUAAUCGAAUUCGGUAAUAGCUGGUUCUCUCCGAAAUAGCUUUAGGGCUAGCGUCAGUGAAAAAUUUUUCGCAGGUAGAGCUACUGGUUUAUGAGUAAAGGGCGCAAGCUCGGCUCAUGAGUCAAACUCCGAAUGGCGAAAAAUAUGCGCUGAUAGUCAGAACGUGGGGGCUAAGCUCCAUGUUCAAAAGGGGAACAGCCCAGACCACCAUCUAAGGUCCCUAAAUUCACGCUAAGUGUAAAAGGCAGUCAUAAUUCAUAGACAGAUAGGAGGUUGGCUUAGAGGUAGCCAUCCUUUAAAGAGUGUGUAACAACUCACUAUUUAAGAAUUGUGGCGCCUAAAAUGUACCGGGGCUAAGCGUGAUACCGAAGAUGUGGCUCAGUUCUAUUUUUUAAAUAGAACUGGGGGUAGGAGAGCAUUUCGAUUACUGCGAAGCACUAGCUGUGAGGCGGUGUGGAGUAAUCGGAAGAGAGAAUGUUGGCAUGAGUAACCACUAUCCUAAUGAGAAAUUAGGACCCCGAAAAUCCAAGGUUUCCGUCCCACUGGCAAUCAAGGACGGGUUAGGCGGCCCUAAGCCGAUGGCGAAAGCCGAAGGUGAUGGAUAGCUGGUUAAUAUUCCAGCCCUUCCAUUCUUUUUCAAUGGGGUGACGAAGCAGAGUAGGUUUAGCGUCUUAUUGGUUUGACGUCCUUGAUCGAGGAUGUCUUGUAGGUAAAUCCGCAAGACUACCUUUAAUGGUAAAUCCCAGAGUAAAGGCAAGUAUAAGUUUUUACUUAUACAAGUAAACCGAGCCUGCUUCCAAGAAAAACCUCUAGAGUUAAAAGAAUGGAAUCCGUACCGGAAACCGACACAGGUGGAUAGGGCGAGAAGCCCAAGGGGAACGAGUGAUUCGCCGCUAAGGAACUCGGCAAAAAAGCUGGGCGUAACUUCGGGAUAUGCCCUCCCUAUAUCAAACUUUUGUUUGAUAUGGGGCGCAGCGAAAGUCUCUCUGGCGACUGUUUAUCAAAAACACAGCUCCCUGCUAACUCGUAAGAGGAUGUAUAGGGGGUGACGCCUGACCGAUGCGAGAAGGUUAAAUCUGCCGGUCAAUGUUUUGUUGUAAAACAAAGCAUUGGCUGAGUGGACUAAGCCCUCGUCAAUGUCAGCCGUAACUAUAACGGUUCUAAGGUAGCGCAAUUCCUUUCCGGGUAAGUUCCGGAGCGCACGAAAGGCGUAACGACUGGAGAACUGUCUCGGCGGCGAGCUCGGUGAAAAUGCGAUUCCCGUGAAGACGCGGGAUACCUGCAGCGGGACGAAAAGACCCCGGAAGCUUUACUGCAGCCUGGUGUUGUUUUUAGGAUUUUGAUGCGUAGCGUAGUGGGGAGCCUAUGAAGCCUCGAUUUCGGUCGGGGUGGAGGCGCCAAUGAAACACCCAUCUUCAAAAUUUUAAAAACUAACUAUAAGAGAACCAUAAAGGAAGCUCUUAUAAGACAGCGCUUGGUAGGCAGUUUCAAUGGGGCGUUGUCCUCCUAAAGGGUAACGGAGGAGUUUAUUAAGGUCGGCUUAGCCCGGAUGGAAACCGGGCUGGACGUGUAAAGGCAUAAGCCGGCUUGACUGCAAGACCGACAAGUCGCGCAGGUGCGAAAGCAGAACUUAGUGACCCGACGGCUCUUUAUAGGAAGGCCGGAGACAUCGGAUAAAAGCUACUCCGGGGAUAACAGGCUGGUGAGGUCCAAGAGUCCACAUCGACGACCUCGCUCGGCACCUCGAUGUCGGCUCACCCUAGCGCGGGGGUGGAGAAGCUCCCAAGCGUUUGGCUGUUCGCCAAUUAAAAGGGUACGUGAGCUGGGUUCAGACCGUCGUGAGACAGGUCGGUCUCUAUCUGCUGCAGGCGUUUGCGCUUGAGGGGAGUUGGCCCUAGUACGAGAGGACCGGGCUGAACGCACCUCUGGUCUGCCGGCUUUGGCACCAGCUGAAGCGCCGGGUAGCUAUGUGCGGACGGGAUAAGCGCUGAAAGCAUCUAAGCGCGAAGCCCACCCCAAGAUAAGGCGCAAGGGGUUUCGUGGUAGAUUACCACGUCGCCGAAAGGCGGAUCUUGCCUAAAUUCGCAAGAAUUUAGGCAGAUCGAUAGGCUCUAGGUGUAAGCAUCGUAAGAUGUGAAACUUA
rnacentral:rRNA from 1 species